GUGAGGAAUUUUCCGCAAUGGGCGAAAGCCUGACGGAGCAAUGCCGCGUGAAGGAUGAAGGCCUAUGGGUUGUAAACUUCUUUUCUCAGAAAAGAAUUAUGACGGUAUCUGAGGAAUAAGCAUCGGCUAACUCUGUGCCAGCAGCCGCGGUAAGACAGAGGAUGCAAGCGUUAUCCGGAAUGAUUGGGCGUAAAGCGUCUGUAGAUUGUUUAAAAAGUAUUCUGUCAAAGAUUCGGGCUUAACCCUAGAUAGGCAGAAUAAACUUUUAAGCUAGAGUUUGGUAGAGGCAGAGGGAAUUACCGGUGGAGCGGUGAACUGCGUAGAUAUCGGGAGGAACACCAAAGGCGAAGGCACUCUGCUGGGCCAAUACUAACACUGAGAGACGAAAGCGAGGGGAGCAAAUGGGAUUAGAAACCCCAGUAGUCC
rnacentral:rRNA from 1 species